rnacentral:rRNA from 1 species
UACAGAGGUCCCAAGCGUUGUUCGGAUUUACUGGGCGUAAAGGGCGCGUAGGCGGCAAUUCAAGUCAUCUGUGAAAUCUCUGGGCUUAACCCAGAACGGCCAGGUGAUACUGCUUUGCUAGAGUGCGGAAGGGGCAAUCGGAAUUCUUGGUGUAGCGGUGAAAUGCGUAGAUAUCAAGAGGAACACCUGAGGUGAAGACGGGUUGCUGGGCCGACACUGACGCUGACAGCGCGAAAGCCAGGGGAGCAAACGGG